UCAAACUCUGAAACCCUAGUUAAUUCAAAUUCAAAGUCCGAAACUUGCGCCUCCUUCCCCCAACGCCUCUCUCUCUCAAAUCUCCCUUCUCUCUCGCCUCUGCCGGAAACGGCUGCCACUGCCGGCCCGCCGGCCAUCUCUCCCUGCUUCCCUUCUCUCCUUUCCUCUCUUCUCACUCUCCCUCUCGGUCUCCCUCGCCGCCGGCUGGAAACUGCCGCUGCUGUCGUCGGGCUGCCGCCGCCGCUACGCCGGCCGCCGUCGUCGUCGUCGCUCGGGAGAAAUUAAGAGGGGUUGAAAAGGAGCCAAGAAGUGUCGUUGUUUGCCGUAUUUCGCCACCACCGCCGGCUUCCGUCGCCGCCGCCGACCCGGCGCUGCUGCUGUUACUGACAGAGGACAGAAACUCCAGCCAGGGACAUGGCUUGGGAGAAAAAGUGGGCAUUCAAGACUAAAGAGUGGCUAUCCGAAAAGUGCCAUAAUGCCUAUUGCAAAGUGUUGGAUACAAAGGGUUGUAUAUAUAUGUAUAUAUUCACAUGUAUAGCUAGUGUAUUACUCAUGCCACAAGGCAAGCAAUUUUCCCAACUUCUUGCACCUACUUGUUCGAGCAAUUUUCCUUUCUCCUAUCUUGGUAAUUAAGUAUUCUCAACAUAGAUAAAAGAUGUAAAGCAAGCAAACAUAGUAGUUUAAAAGAUGUGGGAUAUUACAGUUUUCUUCUUGAUAAGAUUUUAAUGAAGUUUGUUUCUUCUUGCAGGAGCUUGGGAAGGGGUGGACUGCAGGAGCAACUAGCUUCCUAUAUUGGACUCCCAGCCCUGAUGAAAAAAAUGAGUAGGGAAUGAGCUUCAUAAAAGGGAAUUUUAAAGCCAGAAAAGGAAGGUAGGAAGGUAAGACUGAUCAUGCAAAGAUGACAGGAAAGAAAGAUGGCAUGGCAAUAUAUUUUUAAAGAAAACAAUUUAAUCGAUCAAUCAAAAUUGAAUGUUGGAAAGUUUCGAAGAUGAUCUAAAUUGACAGAGUACUACGUUUUUUAUUCUGAUAAAGAUACACUGGUAGAUGUUUGCUUUCGGCAUUUUGGUAUGUGAGAAGGUACCAGGUUUCUAGCAGGCAGGAAAUCCGAGCUUUUAUUGUAGUCGUCAAAUCUUGGUCUUUGAGGAUUCUGGUUUGCUGAACUUGCAUCUAAAAAGAAAUCAUGGGCCUUGGAAGCUGGUUGAGCUCUCAGUUGAGUCUAUAACAAUUGUAUAUAGUAUUUACCGUACAUGCAAUAUCUACACCGAGGCAUUUAUACAUAUGCAGUUUUCAAUUUCUCAUUUGUUCUGCCUACUGUUAACAUGGGCAUUUGUUUUGUAUAGUUCUUGCAUUGCUGAAAAAAUGUUUGGUAUAGAUUCAAGAGAGUUAAAUGCUCCCACCGAGGCAAGUUACCCGGAGGGCCAACUGGAACGUAAUACAAAGCGCUUGGCAGAUGUCGUCUCAGAUGCUUCAAAUUUUCGGAUCGGUCAUUAAGCAUCAACGUGUGACUCACCUUACCUUACGCUGGGUAUUGCUUUACGAGCUGAUUUAGAUGCUUUGAGGAAGCUUGCAUAUUGGGAAGCUUGUCCCUUCCUCGGUUAUCAGUUAAUGUUAUUAUUGUGAGUUUUAGCUACCUCGGUUAUCAGUUAAUGUUAUUAUAUUGUGAGUUUUAGCUACCUCGGUUAUCAGUUAAUGUUAUUAUUGUGAGUUUUAGUCUUACUUUGGAUUUAUGACAUUAUGAUGUUUUCCUUUGGGGGUAAGGCAUUGGAGCAGUUUGUGGACCGUCUCAUUUGAGUAUUACUGCUCCAGUUUAGUUUUGACCACCUCAAUAUAUUCAAACAUUUUUUAUUAAACCUAACUUUAGUUCGAUAUUAAGUGUGUCAUUCAUACUAAUUGCUAAAGCUGAAGAACUACUGCAAAAUCUUUCUGAUGCUUUACACUUGUCGAUACCCAAUAAAAUUGGAGUUGGUCUUGCUUUGUCUCAUUCUGAAGAACACGAUAUCUUCACGAUACCAGGAUGUGUGGUUAGUUAUUCUCUUCUUUGUACAUUCAUUUAGAUAUAAUUUUUGUUUAACAUAUUCUGUUGUGUGCCAAUUCUGUUGCGUUUGAGGCUUUUGAUGUAAUUUAACAUAUUCUCGUGUCACUCUUAGUCGAUUUGAAGGCCUCUCUAAGCAUUUGGAUUCAUUCUAUUUGAAGGCCUCUCUAAGCAUUUAGAUUCAUUCUUUCCAAUGUUAUCUCUUGUGCAACUAAGGUGUUUUCUAUUAUAGUUCCUAGUGCAUAAAUAGAGUAGAAUAUACUUAGUCGAUCUGAAGGUCGGGGGUGGUAGGUGGCAACUGAGUUUUUAACUUAUAAGAAACGGGGGAAGGUGUGGAAAAUAGAAGGCACAAGUCUAUUUAUUGGUUUUUGAGCUUGCUUUGCUUGGUCUUCUGCUUCCUGGUUGCGCCUAUAUUUUUCUACUUAUUUUAUUCAUUCUUUGCUGUCUUUUGCAGCUAUAUAAUAAAUUGUUACAUAUAUUAAAUUUUUGUUUGUUAUACUGUGCUUGACGUUUUUCAUCUUUUUCUAAUCCAAUUUUUGCUACCUUGCAGCACAAUUAAUUAAUAUUCUCAUAUGCCGUGUACAAAUAGUGCAAUAUUAGUGUUUCUUAGAUUUACAGGCUCUUUCCCAACUAAAGUUACUUACUAGACACAUUUCCUUUUUACUUUGGCAUUAAGUUUGCUGUACUUGCAUCUAAAAAAGAAAUCAUGGGCCUUGGAAGCUGGUGGAGCAAUCAAUGAGUGUCAGCAAUCAAUAAGGAUCAGUCAUUAAGCAUCAAUGUGUGACUCACCUUACGUGGGGUAUUGCUUUACGAGCUGUUUUAGAUGCUUUGAGGAAGCCUGCAGAUUCAGAAGUUUGUUCCUUCCUAGUUUAUCAGUUAAUGUUAUUAUUGUGAAUUUCAGUCUUACCUUGAAUUUAUGACAUUCUGAUGUUUUCCUUUGGGAGUAUGGCAUUGGAGCAGUUUGUGGACCAUCUCAUUGAGUGGCCACAGUAUGCCAUCAUAUCCUGCACUUAGUAGCAUUUAUAGAUGGGGCACUCAACAGUAUUUCCGCGGCUUAUACUGAACCUGAUGUUGGCCAUACUGCCAAUACUGGUUGUGGAUAAUACUUCUACUCCAAGUGAUUUGUGUGAACUCAUGAUCACUGCAAUUUUGUCCUUCUGGUUUCAGAUUGCAGGCCCACCAUUUUCUCUGAUCGGACCCAGCAGCAAUUAUCUGGAUUAGCAAUUCCCUCUUCGAUCCCACUGCAACAUAGACCACCAAGUUUUCUCAGUUCACUCCUAAUUACAUGAAGCCAUCACAACACACCUACCCUUCCUAAGUCACUCAGUGGUGCUUUGCUGUCAAUACAAUCUGCCUCGUCGGAUUUCCGUGGGCUUCUAGAUCAACCUCAGCAAGCAAGUAAAUAAUCAGGUUUAACUGUGCUACUCUCUCUCACUGUGCGCUUUAUGGAUUACAUUAACAUGGGGACUGGUUUUACAACCAUGAGAAGAGAAACUCCCAUAGAGGUGAUUGGAUGUAGCUAUCUUAUCAUUUUUAAUUCUCUGUUUACACUUUGUCUUGAUCCUUUUGGUUUUCCCAUGCUUUUACUUUGAGGAUUUUCUUCCUUGUUAUGAGUUAGCAAUUAAAAGUUCUAUUAAUAGCACAUUUAACUUUAUCCCACUGGUUAACUAAAAUCUCACACUUCUAAAUUCUUUCUUAACUCCCGACUACUUUCUCGUUUUCCUUUUCCCCUUUAGUUUCUUUAUUAUUUGUUUUCUUCCCUGUGCAAUGGAGGCGUUCUGAUUCUGGUUCAGGCCAUCAUGAACUUAAAGUUAUCGUGCUCAGACAAUAUUUCCUCAUACAUGGCUGUUAUCUCCUGCCUAAAAUCUAAAGCUUUAUCUAUUUGUGAUUUUUUCUGUUGCAGCUUAUGCAACUCUGUGAAGUUGAAAGUGUAUCAUACCCGUGGCCAGCAACACAGCAACUCAGGAUAUGGCAAAGUCAGCUGGACUCGAGGUUCUUGCAUUGCUGAAAAAAGCUUGGUAUAGAUUCAAGACAAUUAAAUGCUCCCUCCGAGGCAAGUUACCGAACGGGCAAUGGAGCUUAAGACAAAGCUCUUGGCAGAUGCCGUCUCAAAUGCUUCAAAUUAUCAGUCAUUCAUCAUGAAUUGUGUUUAUUCUGUUUGUAUUUUGCGUAUGUAUUUUGUGUAUUGUGUAGUGUUUUUUGUAUGCAUGUGUA